rnacentral:rRNA from 1 species
UGGGGAAUUUUGGACAAUGGGCGCAAGCCUGAUCCAGCAAUGCCGCGUGCAGGAUGAAGGCCUUCGGGUUGUAAACUGCUUUUGUACGGAACGAAAAGCUUCUGGUUAAUACCUGGGAGUCAUGACGGUACCGUAAGAAUAAGCACCGGCUAACUACGUGCCAGCAGCCGCGGUAAUACGUAGGGUGCGAGCGUUAAUCGGAAUUACUGGGCGUAAAGCGUGCGCAGGCGGUUAUAUAAGACAGAGGUGGAACCCCCGGGCUCAACCUGGGAAUUGCCUUUGUGACUGCAAGGCUUGAGUGCGGCAGAGGGGGAUGGAAUUCCGCGUGUAGCAGUGAAAUGCGUAGAUAUGCGGAGGAACACCGAUGGCGAAGGCAAUCCCCUGGGCCUGCACUGACGCUCAUGCACGAAAGCGUGGGGAGCAAACA